AAUUCUCAACCUACAAGUCCUUUUGGGACUUUGUUAGGCUUGGAUAUUGGAGGAUUGUAUUGCCGGCUCGAACGAGUUGGCUCCUCUUAAAUGCAUUAGCUCAGUCCCUUGCGGAUCGGCUCCCAGUGUGAUAAGUUCUUUACGCUGCGACCGUGAAGCGUCUUACGACGAAGCUUCUAAUGGUCUCUUGAAAGUGAGACAAACAUUAACACUUUGAC
rnacentral:misc_RNA from 1 species